UACGGAGGAUCCGAGCGUUAUCCGGAUUUAUUGGGUUUAAAGGGUGCGCAGGCGGGAAAUUAAGUCGGCGGUGAAAUUUUGCGGCUCAACCGUAAAAGUGCCUUCGAUACUGGUUUUCUUGAGUGUAGCCGAAGUAGGCGGAAUUUGUGGUGUAGCGGUGAAAUGCAUAGAUAUCACGAGGAACUCCGAUUGCGCAGGCAGCUUACUAAACUACUACUGACGCUCAUGCACGAAGGCGUGGGGAUCAAACAGGAUUAGAUACCCCGGUAGUCCCUGA
rnacentral:rRNA from 1 species